AGGAUAAACGCUGGCGGCGUGCAUAACACAUGCAAGUCGAACGAUGAAACUUAAAUGAUUUCUUCGGAAUGAACUUAAGUGGAUUAGUGGCGAACGGGUGAGUAACACGUGAGUAACCUGCCUUACACAAGGGGAUAGCCUCUGGAAACGGAGAAUAAUACCCUAUAAAGUCUAAUCAGCCCAUGCUGGAAAGACCAAAGAUUUAUCGGUGUAAGAUGGACUUGCGUCUGAUUAGCUAGUUGGUGAGAUAAAAGCUCACCAAGGCGACGAUCAGUAGCCGGCUUGAGAGAGUGUACGGCCACAUUGGGACUGAGACACGGCCCAAACUCCUACGGGAGGCAGCAGUGGGGAAUUUUGCACAAUGGGGGAAACCCUGAUGCAGCGACGCCGCGUGAUUUAGAAGGCCUUCGGGUUGUAAAAAUCUUUUUUACGGGAUGAAAAUGACAGUACCGUAAGAAUAAGGUCCGGCUAAAUACGUGCCAGCAGCCGCGGUAAUACGUAUGGACCGAGCGUUGUCCGGAAUCAUUGGGCGUAAAGGGUACGUAGGCGGCCUAGUAAGUUAGAAGUUAAAGAAUAUAGCUCAACUAUAUAAAGCUUUUAAAACUGCUAGGCUUGAGAGAUGGAAGGGAAAGUGGAAUUCCUAGUGUAGCGGUGAAAUGCGCAGAUAUUAGGAAGAAUACCGGUGGCGAAGGCGACUUUCUGGUCAUCAUCUGACGCUGAGGUACGAAAGCGUGGGUAGCAAACAGGAUUAGAUACCCUGGUAGUCCACGCUGUAAACGAUGAGUGUUAGGUUCUUGGAAUAAUCUGGGAGCCGCAGCUAACGCAUUAAACACUCCGCCUGGGGAGUACGCACGCAAGUGUG
rnacentral:rRNA from 1 species